GAUGAACGCUGGCGGCGUGCCUAAUACAUGCAAGUCGAGCGAACAGACGAGGAGCUUGCUCCUCUGACGUUAGCGGCGGACGGGUGAGUAACACGUGGAUCACCUACCUAUAAGACUGGGAUAACUUCGGGAAACCGGAGCUAAUACCGGAUAAUAUAUUGAACCGCAUGGUUCAAUAGUGAAAGACGGUUUUGCUGUCACUUAUAGAUGGAUCCGCGCCGCAUUAGCUAGUUGGUAAGGUAACGGCUUACCAAGGCAACGAUGCGUAGCCGACCUGAGAGGGUGAUCGGCCACACUGGAACUGAGACACGGUCCAGACUCCUACGGGAGGCAGCAGUAGGGAAUAUUCCGCAAUGGGCGAAAGCCUGACGGAGCAACGCCGCGUGAGUGAUGAAGGUCUUCGGAUCGUAAAACUCUGUUAUUAGGGAAGAACAAAUGUGUAAGUAACUAUGCACGUCUUGACGGUACCUAAUCAGAAAGCCACGGCUAACUACGUG
rnacentral:rRNA from 1 species